UUCCGGUUGAUCCCGCCAGAGGUUACUGCUAUCGAGGUUCGACUAAGCCAUGCGAGUCGAAUGUAGCAAUACAUGGCGAACUGCUCAGUAACACGUGGACAACCUACCCUUAGGUCAGGGAUAACCCCGGGAAACUGGGAAUAAUACCUGAUAUGGCGCGAAGGCUGGAAUGCAUCGCGCAAGAAAGCUCCGGUGCCUAAGGAUGGGUCUGCGGCCUAUCAGGGUAGUAGUGGGUGUAACGUACCUACUA
rnacentral:rRNA from 1 species